rnacentral:rRNA from 1 species
GAUGAACGCUGGCGGCGUGCUUAACACAUGCAAGUCAAACGAUGAAGCUCAGCUUGCUGGGUGGAUUAGUGGCGAACGGGUGAGUAACACGUGAGUAACCUGCCCUUAACUCUGGGAUAAGCCUGGGAAACUAGGUCUAAUACCGGAUAGGAGCGCCUACCGCAUGGUGGGUGUUGGAAAGAUUUAUCGGUUUUGGAUGGACUCGCGGCCUAUCAGCUUGUUGAUGAGGUAAUGGCUCACCAAGGCGACGACGGGUAGCCGGCCUGAGAGGGUGACCGGCCACACUGGGACUGAGACACGGCCCAGACUCCUACGGGAGGCAGCAGUGGGGAAUAUUGCACAACGGGCGAAAGCCUGAUGCAGCGACGCCGCGUGAGGGAUGACGGCCUUCGGGUUGUAAACCUCUUUCAGUAGGGAAGAAGCGAAAGUGACGGUACCUGCAGAAGAAGCACCGGCUAACUACGUG